GCCGUCUUAGCUCAGCAGGUAGAGCAACGCCAUGGUAAGGCGUAGGUCGAGAGUUCAAAUCUCUUAGUCGGCUCCA
rnacentral:tRNA from 1 species